rnacentral:rRNA from 1 species
AGUGAACGCUGGCGGUAGGCCUAACACAUGCAAGUCGAACGGCAGCACAGGAGAGCUUGCUCUCUGGGUGGCGAGUGGCGGACGGGUGAGGAAUACAUCGGAAUCUACUCUGUCGUGGGGGAUAACGUAGGGAAACUUACGCUAAUACCGCAUACGACCUACGGGUGAAAGCAGGGGAUCUUCGGACCUUGCGCGAUUGAAUGAGCCGAUGUCGGAUUAGCUAGUUGGCGGGGUAAAGGCCCACCAAGGCGACGAUCCGUAGCUGGUCUGAGAGGAUGAGCAGCCACACUGGAACUGAGACACGGUCCAGACUCCUACGGGGGGCAGCAGUGGGGAAUAUUGGACAAUGGGCGCAAGCCUGAUCCAGCCAUACCGCGUGGGUGAAGAAGGCCUUCGGGUUGUAAAGCCCUUUUGUUGGGAAAGAAAUCCAGCUGGCUAAUACCCGGUUGGGAUGACGGUACCCAAAGAAUAAGCACCGGCUAACUUCGUGCCAGCAGCCGCAGUAA